rnacentral:rRNA from 1 species
GCAUAACGCGAAGAACCUUACCAAGGCUUGACAUACACGAGAACGCUGCAGAAAUGUAGAACUCUUUGGACACUCGUGAACAGGUGGUGCAUGGUUGUCGUCAGCUCGUGUCGUGAGAUGUUGGGUUAAGUCCCGCAACGAGCGCAACCCUCGUUCUAUGUUGCCAGCACGUAAUGGUGGGAACUCAUGGGAUACUGCCGGGGUCAACUCGGAGGAAGGUGGGGAUGACGUCAAAUCAUCAUGCCCCUUAUGUCUUGGGCUUCACGCAUGCUACAAUGGCCGGUACAAAGGGCUGCGAUACCGUAAGGUGGAGCGAAUCCCAAAAGCCGGUCCCAGUUCGGAUUGAGGUCUGCAACUCGACCUCAUGAAGUCGGAGUCGCUAGUAAUCGCAGAUCAGCAACGCUGCGGUGAAUACGUUCCCGGGUCUUGUACACACCG